UGGAUUGUAGCUUAACCGGCAAAGCGUCGCACUGUGAAUGCGAAGAAUGCGAGUUCAAAUCUCGCCGGUCCACCCA
rnacentral:tRNA from 1 species